GACGAACGCUGGCGGCGUGCUUAACACAUGCAAGUCGAACGGUGAGGCCCUUCGGGGUACACGAGUGGCGAACGGGUGAGUAACACGUGGGUGAUCUGCCCUGCACUUCGGGAUAAGCCUGGGAAACUGGGUCUAAUACCGGAUAGGACCCUGGGAUGCAUGUCCUGGGGUGGAAAGCUUUUGCGGUGUGGGAUGGGCCCGCGGCCUAUCAGCUUGUUGGUGGGGUGAUGGCCUAACAAGGCGACGACGGGUAGCCGGCCUGAGAGGGGGACCGGCCACACUGGGACUGGGAUACGGCCCAGGCUCCUACGGGAGGCAGCAGUGGGGAAGAUUGCACAAUGGGCGCAAGCCUGAUGCAGCGACGCCGCGUGAGGGAUGACGGCCUUCGGGUUGUAAACCUCUUUCAGCACCGACGAAGCGCAAGUGACGGUAGGUGCAGAAGAAGGACCGGCCAACUACGUGCCAGCAGCCGCAGUAA
rnacentral:rRNA from 1 species